CAGCCCCCUGAUCUCCCAUCCCUAGCCCCAGGUCCAGCUCCCCCUCCCCACCCCUGCUUCUCUCCCUAGAGUUAUUCCAAUCUUCAUUGAUUCAGUGACCAAAUAAAUUGUCCAUUGCUCAUCUUGUUAGACUGAGAUAUCCUCUCUACCUCUAGCAUUGCUAAUCUUCGGUGCUAUAUGCCCAAGUCACCAUUUUCAGCUAAUUCACACCUGAUAAAGAAUUCUUCACUACAUGUCAAUGUUAGAAAAUGUUAAUAAUCAAGAGCUUCAUAUCAGAGAAGUACUAAGUACUGUCCAUAGUUUGAGUUACUCACCUUUUUAGUCCUGUGCCCUUAUGGCAGGAGAAAACCAUUCUUUUGUCAUUGCUGCAAAAGUCUCAAUGGUCUGUUCUCCUGAACUAUGUUGACCAACUAAAACUUUUCAUUGAGUGUAUGUCUAAUUGUCCAUACUCUGUGCACUGGAUUAGAACCCAGUCCAAACCCCAUUUAGAUUCACCAGAAGGGGCAGACCACCCAAAUCUUCUGUUGGACAGUUAAUGUGCUCAGUUCCAAUUGUCAUAGCCUUGCCCAUUAAACAAAAACACCCUUUUUGUUUUGCUUUUUUGGGGAGUCCUGCUGUUUUUGAUUAAAGUACAAAAAAAGUAAUUUCAUUGGCCCAUUAAUCAUAAGGACCUCCAUGGGCCUUUACUUUGAGGCAGUGCUAACUACCUACCGUAGACCAUGUUUCUUGAAUUAUUGAGUAAUAUCUCUUUUUCAUCCUGUUUGCACUACAGUAAGGGUGCUUAUUCUCAGAUUUCCUUUCUUUGAAAUAUUAAUGUACUCAAUCAUAAUUGUAUCUGCCUAACAGAAAAGAACCACUGUGAAUAAUAAAUUUAUUAUUUACAUGCAUAAUUCCAAUUGAUUAAAAUGGAACCUUUUUUAUGAAGAUCCCUGUACCAUCUCUGCUUUGUAUCAAGAGGUUUCUAAUUACCUAAGGCACUUUGUCCUGAAAUUGUUGUGCAGAAUUGCAGUUGUAUACAUCUGUUAGUCUGGGAUCCCAUCCUCUUAGGCUCCUUUUGCAUUACAUCAGGGGGUACUUGGGACUUUAAUCUGCAUAAUUACAAUUGUAGUUAAUUUUAUUAAAUUAAUAUCUCAUCCUCUCACACUAUUAGUAUUACAGCUGACAGUGAUAACCACUAAGACUCCUUCUGUACUGUUAAUGUGCAUAAUUGCAUUUGGCCCUUUUCUUGUGCCCUGAAGACUAUACUCAAGACAUUAGGGCCAGGGAUUUAUCUCAGUGGUGCCAUGCCUGCCUCACAAGUGCAGGGUCCUGAGUUUGAUCCCCAUACCACCCCGCCAUCGAGACAUUAGGAUGGUUAAUGUGAAUUGUAAUAAUUGACCACAACGAUAUCUUUAUGAUCAAGUUUUCUUUGCUGUAUAUUACAGCAAAGGGUGUUAAUCAGCUACAUUGUUACCUUCCCUGGGACUAUGAAUGUGCAAAAUUUCAAUAUUAAUGGUUCCUCUUUUUAAAGGAGUAUCCCACCCCUUUUAUAUUAUAGCAAGGGAUGCUAGCAACCUAAAGAAAGUCCUUCUGUUGGAACUCUUAUGUGUGUAUUUCCAAUUGUCUAUGGCUCCUCCCAGUAAGUCAAUAUUCUGCUUUCUCUGAUUAUAGUAGGGUGUAUGGCCCACCUGAAUUCUUUCUGUUGGCUGAUUCCUUGAACAAAAUUGCCCUAUCUAGCCAUCUAUACCUCCUUUGCAAAACAGCAGGAGGCAUUUUUUCAAUGCUAGAAUGCACAUAAUUAGCAGUAGUUUAAGCCCCUUUAUAUUAGAGUAAGACCCCAUUUCCUUGCUCUAUAUGCAUUACUGCAAGGACUUCUCACUAGCUAAGAUUCAUACUCUCUGGCCAUGCAUACUUAAAUUUGCUCCAGUUGUAUAAACCAAGUAAAGACCUCACAGCUCUAUUUAUAUUCUAGCAGGAGGAGGCUACUACUUCAGACCUUUAAAUUAGUUGCCUUAAUGUGCACAAUCUUAGUUGCUCUGUACAAAUUCUCAGUUGUCCAAAACUGUGCCUUUCAGGUCAGAACACCAGUAUUUAUCAAAGGACAGGAUGCUAACCAACAUAAAUCUCUUCUCUUAAAACUCCAAAUAAUACAUAAAUGCAAUCCUCAAUGGUCCUUCAAGUUAGACUUUUCUCUCUUGACCCCUUCAUACCUUAGGUUUACUGCAUGAGGGGCUAUUUACCUAAGGCUCCUUUCGCCAGCUUUUUAUGUGCAUAAUGACAAUUAGGAUCUUUCCCUUUGAUACUUUGUUUGAAAUACAGCAGGCGUGUUGACCACUAAGUGCCCAUUUUGGAGCCUGUGAGUGUACUUGGCUGGAUUUCUAUGCAUUAGGAAAAGAACCUGCCCUCCCCUUCUGCCUUUUCCUUCAGGCAGGAACUGCCCACUCCAUAAGACCCUUAAUCUUGAAAAUUCAGGGUCCACAUUGUAAUGAUAACCAUACACCUUGAAGACUAAUGUGCAUAAUUCCACAUGGCACAUCAUAUGAAUAAGAUUCUGCCCUUAUACUCACCUUACAGUACAGCAGUGGUCCUUAUCAAUAGGACUUCUAUUAUUGGCCUGUUAUAUAGGUGAUUCUGUUUGUCUGGGUUCCUGUGUAUCAUCCUAAACCCUACUUUGGCCUCCCCCAUUUAUCCUCCUUUGCCUUCAGCAAGGAGUGCCUGUGGUAUAAGACCAUUACAAUUAAACAGUCAAGGUACACAGCGGUAAUGACUACAUCCAUGCACCUUGAAUACUAAUGUGCAUAACUACAUGUAGCUCAUUCUAUUUGCAUAAAAUCCUCUCAGCCCCUUUUGCAAUACAGUACAGGUGCUCAUCACUAAGGUUCCUAUUUCUUGGUCUCUUAUAUGAGUAAUUAUGUUUGUCUGAGUUUCUAUUUACUAGACAAGGAAUACUCCCUCCAACACUGCCUUGUCCUCACUUCCCCCAUUCACCUUCCUUUCCCUACCAGCAGAGCCUUCCUACUCCAUAAGACCUUUAUACUUGAACAGUUAAGGUGCACAAUUGUAAUAAUCAUAACCAUGCACCUAUAAUAAUAAUGUGCAUAAUUACACAUGAGUCACCAUUUGAAUAAGAUCCUCCUAUCAACCCCUUAACUAAUACAGCAGGGGUGCUGAUCACUAAGGCCUCUAUUCUUGUCUUGUUAUGUGGGUGAUUGAGUUCCUGUGUACUAGACCGGGAACCCCAACUCAUACCCUACCUUCCCUUCUCUAUUUUCAUUUCCUUCCAGCAGGGACUGCCCAAUUCAUUAAGACCUUUGAAAAGUACUUGAAAAAUAAUUCCUAGUACCAAAAAAAAGUACUUGAAAAGUCAGGGAGUACAAUUGUAAUGACCACAACCAUGAGCCUUGAAUAUGAAUGCAAAUCACUAGAUAUGGCGCAUCCUAUUAUCAGCCACUUUUUGCCAAAUAGCAGGGAUACUGGUCACUAAGGGCCCUAAUCUUGGCCUGUUAAAUAGGUAAUUGUGUUUGUCUGAGUUGCUAUGUACUGACUGCACAAGGAACCUUCGCCCCAACCCUACCUGUUUUCCCUCAUCCAACUUGCUUUCCCUUCCAACAGGGACUGCCCAGUCAUAAGACUCUUACACGUGAUCCAUCAAGGUGCACAAGUAAAAUAACCAAAGUCAUGCACCUUGAUAAUAGUAAGGUACAUGCUGUACAUGGCUCAUCUCAUUGGAAUAAGAUCCUAUUCUUAGCCCCUUUUUUUGUAUAGCAGGAGUACUGAUCACUAUAGCCUUAAUUUUGACAUAUUAUAUGGGUAACUAUGUUUGUGUGAGUUCCUCUGUACUAGUCAAGGAACCUUCACAUCCCGACUGUGCCCUGCCCUCCCCUAUCCAUCUUCCUUUCCCUUCCACAAAGACUGCCCACUCAAAGACCCUUACAUUUGACCCAUCAAGGUGGACAAUUGUAAUGACCAAAACCCUGUACCUUGAAUAUUAACGUGCAUAACUGCACAUGGGUCAUCUCACUGGAAUAAGAUCCUGUUGACAGAACUUGUGCAGUACAACAGGGGUACUGAUCACGAAGGCCUCUAAUCCAGGCCUGUUAUAUGGAUGACUGUGUUUUUCUGAUUUCUGUAAACCAAACAAGGACCCUGCGUACCACCCAACCCUGCGUUGUCCUCCCCUAUCCAUCCUUCCCUUCCAACAGGGACUACUCACUCAUAAAACCUUUACUCUUGACCUGUCAAGGUGCACAAGUGUAAUGACCAAAACCCUGCACCUUGAAUGCUACUGUGCAUAACUGCACAUGACUCACCUCAUUGGAAUAAGAUCCUACUGUCAGAACUUUUGCAGUACAGCAGGGGUACUGAUCACUAAGUCCCUAAUCUUGGCCUAUUAUAUGGGUGACUAUAUUUGUCUGAGUUCCUAUAUACUAGUCAAGGAACUUCCCAGGCCCUAACUCUGCCCUGACCCCCUCUCCCCUUUCCAUCAUCCUUUCCUUUUCAACAGGGACUGCCCACACUUAUAAACCCCUUACACUUGACCCAUCAAAGUGCACAAGUGUAAUAACCAAAACCAUGUACUUUGAAUAGUAAUGGGCAUAGCUGCACAUGGCUCAUCUCAUUGAAAUAUGAUCCUAUUGUCCAAACUUUUGCAGUAAAACAGGGGUACUGAUCACAAAGGCCCUUAAUCCUGGCCUGCAUAUGGACAAUUCUAUUUUUCUGAGUUCUGUGUACUAGACAAGGACCCUUUGUACCUCCCAACCUGCCUUGUCCUUCCCUAUCCAUCUUCCUUUCGUUUCUAACAGAGACUGCCCAUCCAUAAGACCCUUACACUUGACCAGUCAAGGUACACAAGCGUAAUGGCCAAAACCAUGCACCUUGAAUACUAACAUGCAUGACUGCACAUGGCUCACCUCAUUGGAGUAAAAUCCUGUUGGAACUUCUGCAGUACAGUAGGGUUGCUGAUCAUAAAGGCCCCAAACCUGGCCUCUUAUAUGGGUGAUUGUGUUUGUCUGAGUUCCUGUGUACUAGACAAGGAAACUUUGCAACCCUGAACCUACCCUGCCUUCUUUCAUCUAACUUCCUUUCCCUUGCAACAGGGACUGCCCACUCAUAAGACCCUUACCCUUGACCCGUCAGGGUACACAACGAUAAUGACCAAAACCUUGUACCUUGAAUUAUAAUGUGCAUAAGUACACGUCUCAUCUAAUAGAAAAAAGAUCCUUCUGUCAUAACUUUUCAGUACAACAAGGGUACUGAUCACGAAGGCUCCUAAUCUUGGCCUAUUACCUGGGUGAUUGUAUUUGUGUGAGUUCCUGUAUACUAGACAAGGAACCUUCCCCCAACUAUUCUCUGCCCUCCCCUAUCCAUCUUCCUUUCGUUUCUAACAGAGACUGCCCACUCAUAAGACCCUUGCAUUUGACCCAUCAAGGUGCAUAAUUGUAAUGACCAAAACAUGCACCUUGAAUACAAAGGGGCAUGACUGCACAUGGCUCAUCUUGUUGAAAUAGGAUCCUAUUCUCAGCCCCUUUUGCAGUACAGCAAGAGUACUAAUCACUAAGGCCCUAAUCUUGGUCUAUUAUAUGAUUGACUGUGUUUUUCUGAAUUCCUGUGUACUAGUCAAGGAACCUUACCACCCCCUGACUCAGCCCUGCCCUCCCCUAUCCAUCUUCCUUUUCCUUCCAAAGAGUACUGCCAAACAUAAGACCUUUACACUUGACCCAUCAAGAUGCACAAUUGUAAUAACCAAAACCAUGCACCUUGAAUACUGAUGUGCAUAGCUGCACUUGGCUCAUCUCAUUGGAAUAAGAUCCUACUCUUAACCCCUUUUGCAGUACAGCAGGGGUACUGAUCAUGAAGGCCUCUAAUCCUGGCCUAUUGUAUGGAUGAUUGUGUUUUUCUGAGUUCUGUGUGCUAGACAAGGACCCUUCGCACCUCUCAACCCUGCCUUGUCCUCCCCUAUCCAUCUUCCUUUCCUUUCUAACAGGAACUGCCCACUCAUAAGACCCUUACACGUGACCCGUCAAGGUGCAGAAGCGUAAUGACCAAAACCAUGCACCUUGAAUACUAACAUGCAUGACUGCACAUGGCUCAUCUCAUUGCAGUAAAAUCCUGCAGUCGGGCCAGGGAUUUAGCUCAGUGGUUCUGGCACCUGCCUCGAAAGCACAAGGUUCUGAGUUUGAUCCCUCCUACCAAGAAAAAAAAAAAUCCUACUGUCAGAACUUUUGCAGUAUAGCAGAAUUGCUGAUCAUGAAGGCCUCUAAUCCUGGCCUUUUAUAUGAGUGAUUGUGUUUGUCUGAGUUCCUGUGUACUAGACAAGGAAACUUUGCAACCCCUAAACCCUGCCCUGCCCUCCCCUAUCCAUCUUCCUUUCCCUUCCAUCAGGGACUGCCCACUCAUAAGACCCUUGCAUUUUUGACCCAUCAAGGUGGACAAUUGUAAUGACCAAACCAUGUACCUUGAAUAGAAGGUGCAUGACUGCACAUGGCUUAUCUCAUUGGAAUAAGAUCCUAUUCUCAGCCCCUUUUGCAUUACAGCAGGGGUACUGAUAACGAAGGCUCCUAAUCUUGGCCAGUUAUAUGGGUGACUGUGUCUCUCUGAGUUCCUGUGUAAUAGUCUAACAACCUUCCCAUUCCCCAGCCGAGUCUUACCCUCCCUUAUCCAUCUUCCUUUCCUUUCUUAACAGGGAUUGCCCACACGUAAGCCACUUACACUGGACCCAUCAAGGUGAAUAAUUGUAAUAACUAAAACCAUGAACCUUGAAUACUAAUAUGCAUAACUGCAUGUGGCUCAUCAUUGGAAUAAGAUCCUAUUCUCAGCCCCCUUUGCAGUACAGCAGUGAUACUGUUCACCAAAUCUCUAAUCUUGGCCAGUUAUAUGGAUGAUUAUGUUUGUCUGAGUUCCUGUGUACUAGUCAAGGAACCUUGUCACUCCCCCAACCCUGCCCUGCCCUCCACUAUCCGUCUUCCUUUCCCUUCCAACAGGGACUGUCCACUCACAAGACCCUUGCAUUUGACCCAUCAAGGUGCACAACUGUAAUGACCAAACCAUGCAGCUUGAAUACAAAGGUGCACAACUGCACAUGGCUCAUCUCAUUGGAAUAAGAUCCUAUUCUCAGCCCUUUUUGCCAUAUGGCAGGGGCACUGAUAACUAAGGGCCUAAUCCUGGCCUAUUAUAUGGAUGACUAUGUUUGUCUGAGUCCCUGUGCAUUAGUCCCAGAACUUCCUUACUCCCUAACUCUGCCCUGCCCUCCUCUAUCCUAUCUUCCUUUCCUUUCCAACAGAGACUGCCCACACAUAAGCCACUUAUACUUGACCUAUCAAGGUGCAUAAUUGUAAUGACUGAAACCAUGAACCUUGAAUACUAAUGUACAUAACUGCAUGUGGCUCAUGAUUGGAAUAAGAUCCUUUUCUCAGCCCCCUUUGCAGUACAGCAGGGGUACUUAUCACUAAGGCCAUAAUUUUGGCCUGUUAUAUGGGGGCUAUGUUUGUGUGAGUUCCUGUGUAUUAAACAAGGUAAACUUGUAACCCGCACCCCUGCCCUACCCUCCCCCAUCCAUCUUCCUGUGCUUCCAACAGGGACUGCCCACUCAUAAGACCCUUAUACUUGUCAAAGUGUACAAUUGUAAUGACCAAAACCAUGUAAGUUGAAUACUAAUGUAUAUAACUGCACAUGGCUCAUCUAAUUGGAAUUAGGUUCAACUGCCAGAACUCUUGCAUUACAGCAGGGGUACUGAUCACCAGGGACCUAAUCUUAGGCUAUUAUGUGGGUGAUUUUGUUUGAGUUCCUACGUGCUAGACAAGGAACCCCGCACCCCCCAACCCUGUCUUGCUCUAUCUCAUCUAACUUCUCUUCCAACAGGGACUGCCCACUCACAAGACCCUUACACUUGCCCUGUCAAGGUGCACAAGUUUAAUGACCAAAACCAUGUGCCUUGAACACUAACGUGCAUGACUGCACAUGGCUCAUCUCGUUGUAAUAAGAUCCUACUGUCAGAACUUUUGCAGUACAGCACGGAGGCUGAUCACCAGGGCCCUUAUCUUGGCUUAUUAUGUGGGUGAUUGUGCUUGCCUGAGUUUCUCUGUACUAAACAAGGAACCUUCUCCCUGAAUUGUGCCCUGUUCUCCCUCAUCCAACUUUCUUUCCCUUCCAAUAGGAACUGCCUGCUCCAUAAAACUCUGACAGUUGACUAGUCAAGGUGUACAAUUGUAAUGACCAAAAUCACGCACCUUGAAUACUAAUGUGCAGAAGUGCACGUCACUCAUCUCAUUGGAAUAACAUCCUACUCUCAGCCUCCUUUUCAGUACAGUAGGCAUAUUGAUCACUAAGGCCCUAAUCUUGGCCUAUUAUAUGAGUAAUUAUGUGUAUCUGAAUUCCUGUUUACUGGACAAGGAACCCCUCCUGUAACCCCAUCCUGCCCUCCCCUAUCUAUCUUUCUUUACCUUCCAGCAGGGACUACACACUCCAAAGACCCUUACAGUUGACCAGUCAAGGUACACUACUGUAAUGAUCAAAACCAUGCACCUGGAAUAUUAAUGUGCAUAAAUGCACAUGGCUCAUCUCAUUUGAAUAAGCUCCUACUCUCACCUCCUUUUGGGCCAUAUAGGAGAGUUGGUGAUUAUAAGGCCCUAAUCUUGGCCUGUUGUAUGAGUGAUUGGGUCUGUCUCAGUUCCUGUGUAGUAGACCUAACUCUACUGUACCCUCCCCUAUCCAACUUCCUUUCCUUCUCAACAGGGACUUCCUACUUUAUAAGACUCUUACACUUGACCAGUCAAGGUGCACAAUUGUAAUGACCAAAACCAUUCACCUUGAAUACUCAUGUGCAUGACUACAUGUGGCUCAUUUGAGUGAGAUCCUACUCUCAGCCCCCUUUUGUCCUAUAGCAGGGGUGCUGAUUACUAUGGCCCUUAUUCUUGGCCUGUUAUGACAGUGAUUAUGUUUUUCUGAGUUCCUGUGCAUUAGAUAGGAACUUUCCCUCUCAACCCUGCCUGCCUUCCCUCAUCCAACUUCCUUUCCCUUCCAACAGGAACUGCCUGCUCCGUAAGACCCUUACAGUUGAAUAGUAAAGGUACACAAUUGUAAUGAUCACAACUGUAUACCUAGAAUACUAAUGUACUUAACUCCACAUGAUUCAUCCCAUUUGAAUAUGAUUCUUCUCUUAAUCCCUUUUCCCAAACAGCAGGCAUGCUGAUCACUAAUGCCCCUAUUCUCAGCCUAUUACAUGGAUGAUUAUGUUUGAGUUCCUGUGUGUACCAAGACCUACCCCUCUCCCAAGUUCUCCCCUAUUUCCUCCAUCCAUCUUCCUUUCUAGCCCACUCUAUAAGACUCUUACACUUGAACAGUCAAGGUGCACAAUUGUAAUGACCAGAAUCAUGUACCUUAAAUACUAAUGUGCGUAACUGAAUCCCAUUUGAAUAAGAUCCUACUCUCAGCCUCUUUUGCAGUAAAACAGGGAUACUAAUCAUUAAGGCUCCUAUUGGCCUGUUAUGUGGGCAUUUAUGUUUGAAUUCCUGUGUACUAUUAUUAUACAAGGAACCUCUCAACCCUCCCCUCCCCCCUCCCACCCUUCUUUUGCCUUCCAGGAGGGACUGCCCACCUCAUAAGACCCUUAUACUUAAACAGUAAAGGUGGCCAAUUAUAAUGGUUCCAGUCAUGAGCCUUCAAUACUAAUGUGCAUAACAGCACCUGAUUAAUCUCAUUUGAGUAAAAUGCUACCAUCAGGCAGACCCUUUUGCAAUACAGCAGGGAUGUUGAUCACUACUAAUGCCCCUAUUCUUGGCUUACUAUGUAGGCCUUUAUACUUGUCCAGGUUGUAGUGUACUGUACGAGGAAAUCUCUGCCCUGAUCCCCCCUCUUCCAACUUCUUUUUCUUUAGCAGUUAGGAGUACUCCAUAAGAACAUUAUACUUAAACUGUCAAAGUGCACAAUUGUAAUGACUGCAAUCAUAUACCUUGGACAUUAAUGUGCAUAUUUGCACAUGACUAAUCUCACUUGAAUAAGAUCCUAUUUUCUAGACCCCUUUUGCAGUAAAGCAGGGGUUCAUUAAUAUAAUUGUCCUAUUUGGUCUAUUAUGUUGAUGAUUAUAUUUGUCUAGGUUUCUGUGUACUAGACAGCUACUCCCACCCCUUUCCUUUGCCUUCUAGCAGUAUGAGCAUUCCAUAAGACCCUUACAUUUAAGUAGUCCAGAUGCACAGCUAUAAUGGUCACAGCCAUGCAUCUAGGACAUUAAUGUUCAUAACUGCAUGUGGCUCAUUCCAUUUGAGUAAGAUCUUACUCUCAACCCCCUUUGCAAUACAGCAGGAAUGCUGAUCCUUAAAGCUUCUUUUCUUGGCUUCUUAAUUACUAGAUAAGACCACUCUAUCCACCCUGCCCUCUACUUUUCAAAUAAUAGUGCCCUCUACUUUUAAGAUCCUUGUACUUGUACAAACUAUGUAGUUGUAUUUGUCCAUAGCUAUGUCUCUGGGACAGUAAUGUAUAUCAUCAGGACAUAGUUUAUCCUAUUUAACUAGUCAUUCCCUCUUGCCCUCCAUUUGCCACAUACUAAAGUUUCUGACUUCUAAGUCCCUUUUUUUGGUGACCUGUUACUUGCAGAAUUUCAUCAGUCUGAGUUUUUGUGCACUAGACAAGAACACCCCAUCUCUGACUUCUGCUUUUUAAUAAGUGAUGCCCACUGCUUACGGCCUUUACAUUUGGCAGGUAAUGUGCCUUAUUGCAGUUAUCCACAACUCUGUUACUUCUAGGACCAUUGUAACUCUGCACUACUGCAGGGGAUAUAUAUAAUUGAAAUUUUCUUUAGUCUUUGUCAGAGUACUAAAGUCAUACCCCCUCACAUUUCCUUUGGCCUACAGCAGAGUGCUGAUAACCAAACCAAGGUUCUCUGCUUUGGGACUGUUAAUAUAUACAAUUGCAUUUGCUUCUGUUUUGUGAAUUAGAAAAGGAUCCCACCUAUUUUCUUAGUAUUUUCUGCAGAAAAUGCCCACCACUCAAAACUCUUUGACUUGGAAACUUCAUGUACACAAAUAAAAUUUUCUAAGCAUGUCUUAUAUCAGAACUCCUGUACGCUCUUUGCUUUAAAGCAGAGAGAUGCUUUCACCUAGUAUCCUUUCUUUUGGGCUUCAGUGUGCAUUAAUAUAAUUGUCCCUCCCUUGUUUGGAUUAGAAUUUGAUCUCCUUAUAUCCCCUUUGCUUCAGGGGUGUGUUGAUGAUGAAAGUGCCUUCUAUAUGAAUGGUAAUAUGCAUAAUUAUUUUUGUGUGUGGACCUAUGUAGUAAAAAAAGGACAUUAUGUUACUACCACUACCUUUUGAUCACUGCUGAGAAGGGCUAUUUAUAACCUCUGCUCUUGAACAAUUAGUGUAUCCCAAUGACAGUUAUCCUGAAUACUGAUCAUUAAAUAGGACCCUGCACUCUCUACAUACAUCAGGAGUGCUGACCAACUAAGAUCCCUUGGAUUGUUAGUGUGAAUACUUGCAAUUAUGCAUGCCUAGGACACUAUAUCCUCAUACCCCCUUUGCCUUACUACUGACCAUCCAAAGCAUCUCUUGAGACUGUUAAUGAGCACAAUGGCAAUUAUUAAUGUUACUUUUUUCUCCUAAAAUUAUCUUGGGACUGUUAAUAGGUACAGUGCAAUCAUAAAUGGUUAUUUUUCUUUCCUGGCCCUAUUAAACAGUCACUCUUUCCUCAGUUUCCCAUGGCAUUAAUAAAGUACAAACAUUGCAGUAUGCUAUGUACUUGUGCAUCAAACAAUGACCCAUACUUCCAUACCUUUUUCAUUGUUCCAGUAUAUAAAAUCCCAAAUAGCCAUGGCCUUACCAUUUAUACAAGGUUUUCCCUCUCCCCUGCCCCUUGUCUGCCUUGCGUCCCUUCUUAUGGACUAUUAAUGCUCAUAAUCUGACCAUUAGGUAUGAUUGUGUUCCCUCUCCCCCUUGCCCUGCCCUGCCCUGCCCCUUUCACCUCUUUGCUGGGUAAUGUUGACUGGGCAGUGAUCUUUCUCUUGCACUUACUAAGUUUAACAAUCCCACAUGUCAUUGAUUUACCCACUUUAUCUGGCUGUAAUGUCUCAGUUGUACUUUCCUUGGUCCUGCCCAUUAGACAUAGAGUUCUCCACUUCCUUUGCAUUGGUUCCGAGUAAUGCCAGUUACCCAAAGCCCCUUAUGUGUUAUUAAUGAACACAGUACACAUUGUCCCGUUUUUCACCCCAUAAGUACCAGAUCUCCCUAUCACUUUGAUGUGUUGGUGCAGUGUUAAUAAUCAAAAGCAAGCCUGAGCUAGGUUUGUGAGCCUUCACUUUUUCUUCCAUUUGUUAAUUAUCUCAGCUCCAAUUAUUGGCACAUUCCCAGGACAAGAACCAUUACUGACCACCUCCAUUGCUGUUUGAUUGUGCAAAGUGUUCAAGGCAAGUGAGGCUUAAGGAGCUGGAUUGCUACCCUUUAGUUGGGGUUUUUAAUAUACAGUAUCAAUUGAAAACUGUCUCUGCAGGAAGGAAAGUUAGCACUUUAUUUGCAUUUUUACUUUCAGAGCAUAAUACCUGGUUAAGUAUCUCGCCUCUAGUCCUUUGUAUGUUUCUAUUGUAUAGUGCCAGUGGCCAGGCACAACCAGAAAAAUUGCUCAUAUUUAAUUUUUAAAGAAAGACAUUUGGAAUGAAAGGUAGAAUUGAUCACUUUGUCAUUAGCCUUUUUUGAAGCCCCUCAAAAUAUCCAUUUAUAUUAUAUACCUGGUGACCAGUGUCUCAUUUUACUGAGUGUGGUAGAUCUGUGGAUAGAUCAUUGUGAGUCUUAUUACCUUAGUGUAUAGUAUUACCAAAGGAAUUUUAGAGUGGAACCCUUAACGGCAGAAUCUUUGAGCUGUACUAUAAUUUAAGAAACAAUUUUCUUUUGGGCUUUACCAUGAUUCACUUUCAGGAAAAUGACCUAAACUUUCCAAUCCUUAAAUUUCUUCAUCUUGAGCAUUAGCCCUUACUUACUUCAAGAAGAUUGCUGUAAAUGGAUUAAAUGAGAGAACAUAUGCUGAUGGGCUUUUGAAAAUUAUAGACCACUUUAUUUGAUUAAUCUUAUAUAAAGUGCACCAUUUAAUUCUGCUACUAAUUUGAAGUAGUUUGAAGAAUCACUCUAAAGUGAACACUUACCUUAAAAUGAUGGGACCUGUUUUCCCAUUUUAUAGUAUACGAGAAAUAAGCCAAGAUCUAAUCAUUCUUCUAAGCAUAAACUUUAACAAAUGAAAGAGAUAAUAAAAAAAAAAACUCAUUCUCUCUAAAUGUAUAAAGCAAUGAUAGCUUAUGACACAUGCCACAGCCUGUUGUUGUCAUUGAAAGCUCUAAAAGAUUCGCUAUCACUGAUAUAGGAUGUUUGGUGACAACUCAGUAUUUAGUAUGAAACUGGAAUCAAAUAACUAGUUGUCACAACAGCCAUUCUUUGUAGUCACUGAGAAAGGAAAGGAUAUUCCUCAAGAAGGAUGUCAAAAGAUCUGCCCAGCUCAGGGUGCUGUUUUGCACUACUGUCUCCUUGGACAGCUAUAAGAAGAGUUGCUGGUGUUUUAGAAUACUGAUGAAUUUGGAGCUGGCUUCUGUACCCUGACUCAAGAGGAAAAAUGACUCUUAUUUUAGGUGGAUUGAUGACUGCUAGAUAGCAUCUAAGGACAUUCUGGGCAUGUGAAACUUGGACUGCACACAGCUAUGGGAGGCUCCAAAUUCAGCAAAUUUUUCCUUUUGAGAUUUUGGACAAGAUCCAGCUAAUCUUGCAGGCCACCUGGAGAAGCAGAUCUUCCUUGGGAGAAUGGGCUUGUUGCUUUACAGUGCUAGUGACCUAUUCCCUUUGAUGAUCUCUAGGUGGAGAUGGGGCAUGAGGAUCCUCCAGGGGAAAAGCUCACUAUCACUGGGCAACAACCCUAGGUCAGGAGGUUUUCCUGACCUUCCUGUACUCAGAUAGGAAGAUGAAGAUUCAAAGACAACCAGCACACAUCAAGUUAGGAGAACAUGGACCACUGCCAACAUCAACAGUGAUUCAUGAGCAAAUCAUUCUGUUUCACCUGGUCCUCAAAGUUUUCCUUGAAGCCUCACAGGAGAAUUUUGUCAGUCAUUUAUAUAUUUAAGAUGCCUUGUAAUGUCCAUGGGUUAUAACCCCCAAUAAGCUAUUUGAGAAGAUAAAUGAGACUUGUGUCUUUUCAUAUUGUCCUUGCUGAUUGGUGGAAGCUUCAUUACUACAAAUGGAAACCUGGGAAAAAAUGCCCCAAAGUUAUCAUCAGGUGAAGUCUAGAGAACUAGGACCUUGCAUUCUGUAGCUCCUGUUUGUUCCCUUCAUAUCUGUUAAAUCAUUAUCCUUUACAAAAGCAGUGGAACCGGUAGGUCUUCAGAAGCAAGAAAUGUGAACACACCAAAGAAAGCCACCUCUCCUAUCUGAAGAUGAACAUGCCUUGUACUAUAACAUUUUAGAAUAGCAGAAUGAAUCAUAAAUGUGUAUUUCUCUGUUUGUCUAUUUCUUCCUUGAAUCUCUUUGCUCUUCUCUACCUUGCGUGUGUCUUCUUACCCAUUUCCAUAUUUGUCUUGCUAAUUUCCUGUGUGUGCCUUUUUCUCAUUUUCUCUUUUUGUUCCUGUGUUCUGUACCUUGUCUUAGAUGUGUGUCUCUCUCUCUUUUUUUUUUUAUUUUCUCAUUUUGUUGAUUGUUUCUCUUUGCUCUCCUGGAUCUGGCUCUUCUUUCACUUACUCCUUUUAUGUCUCCUCUUUGGUCACAUGGUGUGUGUUUUUCUUGCAUUUUUCUUACUGAUCCUACCUUGCUUCUUUUUCUCUUUGUGAAUUGUGAUUGUCAUUCUGUCCUUUUCUCUUCAUUUGACAUUUCAGCUUUUUCUGAUUCUGGCCUCCUUUCUGCUAUUUCUAUUAACAUUUUUCUUUUCUACAUUUCCUUUCUGCCUUUCUUUUUCCUCCUUUGUAUAUCUCAGUGUCUCUGCUGCUUGUGAUUUUCUAUUUCAGCAUUAGUGUCUCUGAUUGCUUAUGUUACUUUUUUGCUUUUUCUUUUCCCUUUUCUACUCACCUUUGAGUAUUUCAGCCUCUUCUUGAGUAUAUGUCUGCUUUUUGCUUUCAUGUAAUCCUCUCUUGGAUAUUUGUUUGUUUUUGUGGCCAUAUAUGCAUGUAUGUGUUUGUACUUUGUGUAGCAGAGGGGCUUCCUAACCCCUUUCCAAUAGAUGCAGAAUGUCGGCUAUCAAAAUAAGCAUUGCAGAGCUGUUCCAUAUGCCAGGCUGUCCUGUGAGAAUGAUCUUACACUAAAAUACAUCGCUGGGAUCGGGAUUGAAGUAAAAUGCAAGGCCUAAGGAGGAGCAGAAAGUACAAGGCUUCAAAUGGAAGACAGAUGGUUUGAGACUUGAUAAGCAGCAUGAAAAGGCCAUGUCCCAAGAUAGGUGGACAUCUCAGGCCUGACACCAUCAGAAACCUCAAAAGCCAUGAGAUACAGAAGGUGGUGCCCUCAGUUUGAUGGAGGAUUUAAGCCUUGAGUUAGAAGGCCAGAGACCCAGGAUAAGAAGGGUUGUUUCUACAGGACACAUGGAAUGCUCAAGAAUUGGGACCUAACACAAGGCCUAAGAACUGACCUAAGCCCACUAUCAUAGACCUAAAAGCCAAGGAUAGAAAACCCCAGACCCAAAUAAGACCCAGGAAUCAAGCCUUUGUACAUGGACAGAAAGUCUUCAAGGCUAAAGGCUAGAAACUGGAGGACUGUGACUCUGAACUCAGGAAGUAGAAACCCCAAGACCAGAGAAGUACCAAGAUGAGAACUGUAAAUCUGAGCUCUUUUCUAUUGUUAUACCUCUUACUCUUGGACAUAUUUAGUUCCCCCCUUCCAGUUCUCUUAUUUCCAUUUAAACCUGCUUCUUUUGAGAUGUGUUUUUUGAUGCUGCCAUUUACCUUAAAGGAACAUAUGUUUAGAUUGACAAUAUUAUGGAUGGACCAAUCUUGAGCCUAUUUUUAAUCAUAAUUUUUAGCUAUUCAUUAAGGUUUUAAUGUUUUAUAGACUUCCUAUAUAUAUAUAUAUAUGUGUGUGUGUGUAUGUGUAUAUAUAUAUAUAUAUAUAUGUACACAACUUGAGAGAGAUACCAAAAUCCAGUUGCUAUCUAUUCAAGCUUUUGUUACUUCACUCAAAAGCAAGCAUCCAUUUAGAUAUUUUUCAGUGUUUUCCACCUCAAAAGCCCUAGCAGAUGAAAGAGCAAAACAUUUGAGUUGUUUAGGGAAAGUGUACCAGGCCAUCUAGAAAUAAUGUGAAGAAAUACUUGAAGAUAAUGAGAAUAAUUAGACAAGAAGUAGACAGAUGUACCAGCCUUCUGAGAAGCACCAGCCAACAUCACCAUCCUCUUUGAGCUUAGGUGAGCAGGAUUCCUGUAAUUUCUAGUAAUGGUUACUGAAAGGGUGAUCAGGCCUGGGACAGAGUGAGGUUUGAACUCCCUGCUCAUAGUAGUGGCCAAAUAAUUUGAGGCACUGUGCCAAACAUACUCCUGGGUUUAACACCUAUCUCUAGACUUGAUGAGAGAACCUGUUGGGUAGCAAGUUUAAUCUUUUCCUUGAUAUCCCCACCCCUUUUAUGAGGGAAGUUGAUAUAAGUGAUUGAUAAUAUGUAUGAAAGUAUAAACAACAAGAGAAAAAAGUAUGGUGUGCUCAUUAAUACAAUACCGGCAAUAAGGCACAGCUAAUAUUUGAAAGUACAGUGUAACCUGUAAAGUAUUACCAGGGAUCAUUACAUUUUUUUCUGUUUUAGAGGUCAAGAUUAUAAAUUAGAUUUUGCGGGCCAUCUUGUGUCUGUUGAAUAGUCUUAGCCUUUUAAAGAGAUAAGAGCCAUUUAGUUUGUGAGCUAAGUGGGUUUGGCCUGCUACCCAUAAUUUAAGAACCCCUGAUGUAAAGGACAGAAUUUAUUCAAAUAAUAUUGAUUUCCUUCUUGGUGCCUGUCCCUGUUCAGGCACUAGCAUGCAGUGAUUAUUUGUAAUCAAAUCCAGGUGACUUGUAGAAAAAUAUAUGAGUGUGCUUUGUAAACUAUAAAGCACAUAAAAACUUGGGAAUUUUAAGUGUUGAUAAAUGAAUUUAACUAUAUAUCAUACAUUCUACUGUGUUAUGCUCUGUAGAUAUAAAGAUUAAAAGAAGCAUAAAUAAAAAUGCUUUGUCAAAAGAAUAUAAAGCUAUGUAGACAUAAUAAGUGUUCAAUAAGUGAAUAAUGUGUGUAUUUGAGACCAGUGUGUUUCUAAUGCUCUGGUGAUUUCAGGUAGCAGAAAACAAGACAUGAAAACUGCUUUUAAACUAGAAAAUAUACUGCAAAUGCAAGGUAUUCUAAGCCAUUGUGUUCACCUCUAAUGUUACAGAUAUCAUGCUAGGUAAUCAAAAUAGCAAAGGGACAAAGAUUCUCAUAAAAAGUUUCAGAAAGGAAGUGCAUAUUAAAGUACAUUAUAAAUGAAAGCACUGUACAAAUAACAGUGGGUUACUUGUUUAUGAAUGAAUGAGUAUUAACUGCCUCAACACGUACCAGGUGUGUUUGGGUACAUAAAAUCCAAGAUAAAUUCUAUCGAUUCUCCCACAUAAUAAGAUGAAAGCUUAUGCUCUGUAUUAUUUAGAUAUAAUGAAGGAGAACACAACUGAAUUUAAUCAGUCAGGAAUUUACUGGUGAAGUCAAUUAAAUUGAUGCCAGUAUAUUUUUCCUCGCGACAGAGAAAAGGGAAUAUGAGUGUGCUCUGUAUACUAUAAAGUGCUAUGAAAGACGUUAAAUGUUUCUGUAUGACUAAAACCUCCUUGUAAAAUAGGCUUUCUCUCUAUAAGAUUCUCAUUGUAUACUGGACCCACAAUGAGAGGAGUACUAUAAGUACUUAUAUCAUCCAGGUGCAGUGGUGGAUACAUCUAGUUCCAGCACUUGAGAGGCUGAGCCAGGAUCACUUGAUUCCAGGAAUUUGAGGCCAGCCUGGGAAACAUAGCGAGACCUUGUCACAACAGCAACAACAUCAAGGAAAAAACCCAAAAAAACAGAAAACUGAAGACUGAGAACAAAAAACUGAGAAUCAAUGAAUGAAUCAGUGUUGAUUCUCCACAGUGAACCCACUGUUAUGGGCACUGAAGAUAUACACAGGUUUAUCAUAUUUCAUUGUGCCUAUAGCUGAGAAUAAGCAAUACAUGUCUUAGUGUUCUGUGAACUUUAAAGCACCAUAUAAAUGUAGCUAUUGACUUUGUCCUUUGGUGCUAAAUGCUAGGUUUAUGAAAUUGUAUUACAGCUAUUUUAUGAUGCAAAUAAAACUAAAAUGUUUCAGAAUUGUUAGCUGUUGAACAUUCACUAUAAUGUGUAAGGCAUUCAAUGAUGAAUACAAGCAUGGAUGGUCUGUUAUAUCUAUUAUGUACCAGAGUCCUUGAUAGGCAUUGAGAAUGCAAAGAUAAACUAUCUAUUAUAUCCUGGGAAACAGUAGAAAUUAUGUAUAAAAUCAAUUUAUAACUUAACUGCCAUUCAUUUAUAAACAAUAUCUGAUGAAUAAUGGCGAUUAUUUACUAUUAUCCCCAGAGAUAGCAUCUGGGAGCAUUAAAAUUUAUUUUUAUUAUUGAACCUGCAACACAGAUCUGUGUGUGAAUUUAUAAGGCCUAUACAAUUUGGAAUUAACUGCCGACUUAAUCAGUGAACAUGACUGCUUUCUGUGAGGUUUAGAACUGCAUGCCUCAGGAUGUAAAAAUGAUUUUAUUACUACAGAGUGCUCACAGGAGAGAAAAUGAAAUAAUAGGUGUGAGACCCAGACCAAAAGUCUACUUAACCACUCCUACACUUACUCAGCGAUGAAGUCGGGAAGAAAAUGGAUUUGUGUAUGGCAGUGUGGUAAAUGCUGAGCUAAGUAGAAGAAUAAAAUCAUUUCUAGAAGUUUUUUUGCCAUCUGGCUUGAUUGAAAAGGUGGAAAUUUUUUUUUAAAAAUCAAGGUGCUAUGAUUUUCCAUUCAGUUUCUUAAAUGUUGAGUGCUGCUGAUGAAGGUAAAUUAGAACCACCCUGGCCUGGCUUAGAGACAGUAAGUGAAAAUAAGGGACUGUUUGUUUUAAAUUCAUCUGAUAAAGCAUCGUUUUUGUGGUCUGUGCCUUCUAGGUCCUAAAUAUGAAAGAGGUAAAGUGGACCUAAGAUAAAGGGCAUAAGAUCACUGAUCACAGCUGAAGACAGAAAACACCUUUAAUUUGAUUGUUGAGUAAAUAAUAUUUGACUAUCUGCUUCAAGGUUGCUUGAUAAAUUUAUUAAGUAGGUCUGUUAAAGAAGACCCAUUGACUUGACUUGGAUAUUGGAAAAAAGAGAAAAGAAAAUACUCAUUCAAUAUAAAAUGGAGGCACCUGUCCUAGCUCCAGAAAGUCACAAAAGGCACUUACUCAUUGUUCUAAAGUUAAAAGGUUUGAGGAGAAUCAAGAUGAAAUAACUGGUUUUAUAAAGCCUUUGCUCAUUCCCUGACUCAGUCAGGAAGACAUUUGAGCAGUAAAAAAAGUUUUCACAUUUAUUAUAUUUAGUUAAAAUUUUAUUAAAUCUUAAUAAAGUGCUGUUAUUAAGUGCUGAGGAAAAUGAACUAAUUUUAAAGCCAAAGCCAAAAUGCACUUUUAUCUCUGUAGCUUAAUGAUGGAAACAUGACAUAAUGAGAAAUUAGAUUUCUUUUAGUUAAAAAAAUGUUUAUUAAACAGCUUUAAUAUGUAAGACACUGAAAUGGUAUGAUGAAAUAAAUAGACCACCUUGUUGGCAUGCUUGGUAGAAUGGGAUUAAGAGGAGUUUCAAUUUUUCAUUCAUACAAGUAUUGCUAAGAUGAUGCUAAAUAUUAAAUGAAAUAAAUCUGUUCCAAAAGACACCUAGUCUGACUUGGGGAGGGACUAAAUGAGCACUGUUUAUAAUGUCAAGCAGUUGUGUUACUCCUGGACAGAAAAAAAAAGAUCUUGGCUGAAUGACACUUGCUUAUUAGUUGGCUUAGAGAUUAGACUAUAGAAUGAAAGUGACCGUUGAUUUAUUUAUUCAUCCACUCUACAAGUAUAUUUGGGUACCUAUUGAAUAUAAGGUUCUUAGGUCCUCACCUGGCCCCAGAGACAGGAAAAAAAUUCAUGCCUUCCCAGAGAACAUUUAAGACUUUCCUUUUGGGCCUGUUUUCUGGUUAUGGGCAUGGCUUGGCCCCUAAAUGACAUUAUGUAGUUUAAUUCCUACUUAAUAUUUCCUCUACCACUCUGGCCACUACGAUGAGCAGGUAGCUGAUUUUUGAGGGAAACUUGUUUCUUAAGUUGCUGGAACCCUCCAUAUAAUAGACAAUUUUUCUUAGCCUUUGCCUCAUGUAAAACGACCAGUGAUGGCAGGAGGGAUGACAGCCAAAGUUCCCAAACCCCGGUCUCUUUGGAAACCACCCAUUCUUAAGCCAAAAUUGGUUUUGAAAUGCAUUUACAAGUUUUGUCUAUUUUCAGUUCUUUAUAUGCUGGUGUGUAUACACUGCCUCAAUAGAUCUCUCCCCAAAACAAAGUUCAGAUAGCACAUAAGUAGAAUUGAGAUAGAGGCAUGAUUUCUCUUGCAACAGCUUCUCAAUUUAUACUGUAGAAAUGUUCUCCUUGCCAUUAAAAUAUACUCCAGGGCUUGUUAUGAUAAAAUAGUAUCAGUGGAUGAAAAUAGCUGAAAAAUUUACCAAGCUUGCUUAAGUUUUACGAAUAGUAAAAUAAAAAUUGGGAAUAAGUGACCAAAUUUGGAGGAAAAAAUAGCCUCUAAAUGCAUGCUUGACUGGGCUUUGAUCUUUUCUAUUUUGCUAUCACUCACAGAGGGUGGGACAGGAGGAAGAGUGAAGGAAAAGGUCAAACCUCUGUCAAAGGGCAAACUUUGUUCUAGAUUGGUCUUAAGAGUAUUACUAGCUCAAGGUCUAAAUUGAGGUUGCUUUGUUUUUAGUUGAAUGGAAUUCAAAAACUGAUCAUUGUUGAGAUGAGGUACUGAUUUGUUACACUUUUGAGAAAUAAUUACUUUUGUCCAAAUGGUUGCCACCUAAGCCUUGGGUUAGAUAAGAAUGGACUUAGUUGAAUCAGUGUGACUCAUGUAUCAUAAGGUUGUCUUAAAACAGAAGUCAGAAUUGUACUGCAAAAUAAGAAGACCUUAUUGAUCAUUGUAGUUCUUACAUACUUUCAAAGAAUCUAAACUGUAGUUUGCAUGGCAAGCCAAGAAUGACAUCCAUAAAUGGAGAAGGAAAUAGAUAAAUGGCAAAGGAUAGCUGGUGGACAGAGCAAGGUUAAAGAGGGUUUGGGGGUGAAAUUUUUAGUUUUCACAUUGUACAUUUUCAGUUAAGUAUCAGAGCUGAAAUAUUAAAAAUAUUUUAAAGUAUGAUCUCGGCUGGGACCAGGCACACCUCUUUCUUCAAAUGGGGUGGGGGUUGCCUAACUGACUGGAAAAUAGAAAUGAGAAAGUAACUGAAAGCCUUCCUUUCAACAGUUUCUGCCACUACUGAUUAAACAAGGAGAGAAUGUGCACUCAUUGUCUGCUUUUGUCAUGUUAAUGAAAUUGUGAACAAAUCUGUUUUAGAGGAAAUUAGUUUAUCUCUACCUUUCCACCACAAAGGGAAUCUACAUGAAAAUGGUAGAAUGGAAGACACUUUGAACUUGUGAACUGAUGUACAAUACAGACUCUGUUACUCUGUUGAGUCUUGAGUGUUUUGAUGCUUCAAGAAACUUGCUCAGCAUCAGUGACCACCAAAAUGCAAUGUAAAGCCAUUUACUUGUCACAACUGAGACAAAUUUGGAAGUGUAUUGUCCACUGUAAAAUAAAGUGUUUCAUUUUGAAAA